UUAUUUUUCGUUUUUGGUGUUUAGGCAUUGAGCUUUAUUGUGCACCUACUGCUGAUGGUUCGAAAGAAUGGCAAUCGUCGAUGCUUCACAUUGCGAUCGAAGGUGGAUGUUUCGUCUUGUCGGCUUGCCAAUUCUGCCAGCGUAAACAUUUCCCUGAUCAUCCUGACUACUUGUUUACCGAUUGGUACGACGACAAAGAACAUGAUUCUAUUGUCUCCCAAGGUGGAAGUGUCAUUAUUUCACCUUUGGGACAAGUUCUCGCCGGACCAAACUUUGAAUCAGAGGGUCUCGUCACAGCUGAUAUUGGUAUGUAUAUGUAUAUUUACACUCUCAUUUGAUAGUCAUCUUAGGUUAUAGAAAAGGAUAACGUUUUUUUUUUUUUUUCCAUCAAGAUCUUGGUGAUAUAGCAAGAGCCAAGUUAUACUUCGAUUCGGUUGGACAUUACUCGAGACCAGAUGUUUUACACUUGACCGUAAAUGAGCACCCGAGGAAAUCGGUUACAUUCGUGACGAAGGUGGAGAAAGCUGAGGAUGACUCAAACAAAUAGUAAGAGACUUGAAGUUCGUAUCUGCUGGAGUUAUGUCAAUCGUAUGGAGUCAAGUCCAAAAUGUUCUGUUGCGUUUUCAUUUUAUGUUCAAGUUUAUUUAUCUUUCUCUUCAAUGGUAAGAUCUAUGGAGUCAAGUAAUAAUGGUAAGACUUAUGUUGUUGAAUAAAACGAAUUGGUUCUCUCCUCUUGUAUUUUAAAACUGUGCCAUUAUGUUUAUCUAAUUUGGGCGUUGGGCGUUGAAUCUCAAUUGUUGUUCAGCCGUAUA
rnacentral:sRNA from 1 species